GAAAUGCGAUACGUCAUGCGAAUUGCAAAGCCUCGUGAAUCAUCAAACUUUUGAACGCACAUUGCGCUCCCGGGAUAUGCCCGGGAGCAUACUUAGCUGAGUGUUCGCAAACCCCACUCAACCCGUCGCGGUCUAAAAUGGACUGCGUUGGAGUUGGAUUAUGGCUUUGUUCGUCUUUGUUACGGACUUGUUGCUAAAGUGUUUGACGCUGUGACCUGACCGAGCGUGUAUUCGCCGGAGGCACGGGGACCGACUGUGGUAAAUGCGGGUUUUCCGCGUUACGUCUGUGGUUGGACUCUGAGCUUCGUGGCUUGAGUAGUGGUUCGGACUCGUCUAGUCCUGGUCGUCCCUCGCGUAGGUGACGUCCCACGUACCGGUAAUAAUCGGAUCUCAAAUUAAGUAAGACUACCCGCUGAAUUUAAGCAUAUAAUUAAGCGGAGGAAAAGAAACUAACAAGGAUUCCCCU
rnacentral:rRNA from 1 species